AUUGAACGCUGGCGACAGGCUUAACACAUGCAAGUCGAACGAGUGGCGGACGGGUGAGUAAAGCUUGGGAAUCUAGCUUAUGGAGGGGGAUAACUACGGGACACUGUAGCUAAUACUGCGUACCCUAGGAUGAGCCCAAGUGGGAUUAGGUAGUUGGUGAGGUAAAGGCUCACCAAGCCGUCGAUCUCUAGCUGGUCUGAGCGGAUGACCAGCCCCACUGGGACUGAGACACGGCCCAGACCCCUACGGUAGGGAACAGUGGGGUAUAUUGCGCAAUGGGGGCAACCUGACCUAGCCCUGCCGCGUGAAUGAAGAGGGCCUUCGGGUUUUAAUGGUCUUUCGGUAGCGAGGCGUUAUCUACAGAAGAAGCACCGGCUAACUCCGGGCCAGCAGCCGCGGUAAUUC
rnacentral:rRNA from 1 species